rnacentral:rRNA from 1 species
UACAGAGGUCUCAAGCGUUGUUCGGAUUCAUUGGGCGUAAAGGGUGCGUAGGCGGCGCGGUAAGUCGGGUGUGAAAUCUCCACGCUCAACGUGGAGGGGUCACCUGAUACUGCCGAGCUUGAGUCCGGUAGGGGAGUGUGGAAUUCCCGGUGUAGCGGUGAAAUGCGUAGAGAUCGGAAAGAACACCAACGGCGAAAGCACUCUGCUGGGCCGACACUGACACUGAGAGACGAAAGCUAGGGGAGCGAAUGGG